rnacentral:rRNA from 1 species
CGAACGCGACUUGCGCUCUCUGGUAUUCCGGAGAGCAUGCCUGUCUGAGUGUCAU